CCGAAGCCCCCAUGCCAGUGUCAGACCCUCGCUGAAGCUCAUUUCACCAGCGUCGUGUGACCUUCGGCUGCAGAACGUCCAGGAUCUCUCUACACACCCCUGGAGCUCACUAUAUAGACCAGGCUGGCCUGGAACUUACAGAGAUCCUCCUGUAUGUGUCUUGCAGAAUUAAAGGUUAACAGAACCUUCCGGGUAUUUAACAGACGGCCCAAUUAACUAUAAAUAUAAAACCAAGUGUACAUGGCUAAUUGAAGCCUAUCCAAAUGCAGUGCUCAGGUUAAGGUUCAAUCAUUUUGCUACGGAAUGCAGCUGGGACCACAUGUAUGUGUACGACGGGGACUCCAUAUAUGCACCGUUAGUUGCUGUGCUCAGUGGCUUGAUCGUGCCCGAAGUGCGGGGCAACGAGACGGUGCCUGAGGUCGUCACGACGUCCGGCUACGCGCUGCUGCACUUCUUCAGCGACGCUGCGUACAACCUGACCGGCUUCAACAUCUUCUAUUCACUCAACUCUUGUCCCAACAACUGCUCUGGCCAUGGGAGGUGCACAACAAGGGUCUCCACUGCGAGUCAAGUGUACUGUGAGUGUGACAAGUACUGGAAAGGGGAAGCGUGCGACAUCCCUUACUGCAGAGCCAACUGUGGCAGCCCCGACCACGGCUACUGCGACCUCACGGGAGAGAAGCUGUGUGUCUGCAACGACAGUUGGCAGGGUCCAGAUUGUUCUCUGAAUGUUCCUUCUACCGAGUCUUACUGGAUUUUGCCAAAUGUUAAACCCUUCAGCCCCUCUGUGGGUCGGGCCUCACAUAAAGCAGUUUUACACGGGAAAUCUAUGUGGGUCAUCGGAGGCUACGCUUUCAACUACAGCUCUUUUCAAAUGGUUCUGAAUUACAAUUUAGAAAGCAGUAUAUGGAAUGUAGGCACUGUCUCGAGAGGACCUCUUCAGAGAUACGGACAUUCUCUCGCUCUCUAUCAGGAAAACAUCUUUAUGUAUGGAGGCAGAAUUGAGACUAGCGACGGCAAUGUCACAGAUGAGCUCUGGGUCUUCAACGUACACAGCCAGUCCUGGAGCACGAAGACCCCCACCGUGGUCGGGCACGGCCAGCAGUACGCCGUGGAGGGCCACUCGGCGCACAUCCUGGAGCUGGACAGCAGGGACGCCGUCAUGAUCGUGAUAUUUGGGUACUCUGCGCUAUACGGCUACACCAGCAGCAUACAGGAGUACCAUAUCCCAUCAAACACUUGGCUAGUUCCAGAAACUACAGGAGCGAUUGUACAAGGUGGAUAUGGCCACACAAGUGUGUAUGAUGAAGUAACCAAGUCCAUUUAUGUCCAUGGAGGCUACAAAGCAUUGCCAGGCAAUAAAUACGGGCUGGUGGAUGACCUCUAUAAGUAUGAGGUGAACACCAAGACCUGGACUAUUUUGAAAGAAAGUGGGUUUGCCAGAUACCUUCAUUCAGCUGUUCUUAUCAAUGGAGCUAUGCUUAUUUUUGGAGGAAAUACCCAUAAUGAUACUUCCUUGAGUAACGGUGCAAAAUGUUUUUCUGCCGAUUUCCUGGCAUAUGACAUAGCUUGUGAUGAAUGGAAAACAUUACCUAAACCAAAUCUUCAUAGAGAUGUCAACAGAUUUGGACAUUCCGCAGUGGUCAUCAAUGGGUCAAUGUAUAUAUUUGGUGGAUUUUCUAGCAUACUCCUUAAUGAUAUUCUUGUAUACAAGCCUCCAAGUUGCAAAGCUUUCCGAGACGAAGAGCUCUGUGGAAAUGCUGGCCCAGGGGUAAAAUGUGUUUGGAAUAAGAGUCAGUGUGAACCUUGGGAGCCUGGGAAUGCAAAUAGUAUUCUCAGAGCCAAGUGCCCUCCCAAGACAGCUGCUUCUGAUGACAGAUGCCACAGAUACGCCGACUGUGCCAGCUGCACCGCCAAUACCAACGGCUGUCAGUGGUGUGACGGCAAGAAGUGCAUCUCUGCAAGCAGUAACUGCAGCCUGUCUGUCAGAAACUACACCAAAUGUCAUAUAAGAAACGAGCAGAUUUGUAACAAGCUUACAAGCUGUAAAAGCUGUUCACUGAACUUGAAUUGCCAGUGGGAUCAACGGCAGCAAGAAUGCCAGGCUUUGCCAGCUCACCUUUGUGGAGAAGGCUGGAACCAUGUUGGGGAUGCUUGUCUUCGAAUCAAUUCCAGCAGAGAAAGUUAUGACAAUGCCAAGCUCUAUUGCUAUAAUCUUGGUGGAAACCUUGCUUCCCUGACAACUUCCAAGGAGGUAGAGUUUGUGUUGGAUGAAAUACAGAAGUACACACAACAGAAGGUGUCGCCGUGGGUGGGUCUGCGCAAGAUCAACAUCUCGUAUUGGGGCUGGGAGGACAUGUCCCCCUUCACCAACACCAGCCUGCAGUGGCUUCCGGGGGAGCCCAACGACUCCGGCUUCUGUGCCUACCUACAAAGGGCUGCAGUGGCGGGGCUCAGAGCCAACCCUUGCACGGCCAUGGCAGAUGGCCUUGUCUGUGAAAAACCUGUUGUCAGUCCGAAUCAGAAUGCAAGGCCAUGCAAGAAGCCGUGCUCGCUGAGGACGUCCUGUUCCAACUGCACCAGCAAUGGCAUGGAGUGUAUGUGGUGUGGCAGCACCAAGCGCUGCGUGGACUCCAACGCCUACAUCAUCUCCUUCCCCUACGGACAGUGCCUCGAGUGGCAGACCGCCACCUGCUUGCCUCAAAAUUGCUCCGGAUUAAGAACCUGUGGACAGUGCUUGGGGCAGCCUGGAUGUGGCUGGUGCAAUGACCCUAGUAACACAGGAAGAGGGCGCUGCAUCGAAGGCUCCUCACGGGGGCCGGUGAAGCUUGGUGGAACGCACAGCAGCGACGUGGCUCUCGACCCCAGUCUUUGCCCCAAAGAAAAGAGCUAUGAGUGGUCCUUUAUCCAGUGUCCAGCUUGCCAGUGUAACGGACACAGCACGUGCGUCAGCAGCGACGUGUGUGAGCAGUGCAGGAACCUCACCACCGGGAGGCAGUGCCAGGACUGCAUGCCGGGGCACUAUGGAGACCCGACCAACGGCGGCCAGUGCACAGCCUGCACAUGCGGCGGCCACGCAAACAUUUGCCACGUGCACACAGGAAAAUGCUUCUGCACAACCAAAGGGAUAAAAGGUGACCAGUGCCAGCUAUGUGACUCUGAAAAUCGCUAUGUUGGUAAUCCACUUAGAGGGACAUGCUAUUACAGCCUCUUGAUUGACUACCAGUUUACCUUCAGCCUGCUGCAGGAGGAUGACCGCCACCACACGGCCAUCAACUUCAUCGCAAACCCAGAGCAGUCGAACAAGAAUUUGGACAUUUCGAUUAAUGCUUCUAACAACUUUAAUCUCAACAUCACAUGGUCGGUUGGCUCAACAGGUGGGACAAUAUCUGGGGAAGAGACUCCCAUAGUUUCUAAGACAAAUAUAAAGGAAUACAGAGAUAGCUUCUCCUAUGAAAAAUUUAACUUCAGAAGCAAUCCCAACAUCACAUUUUAUGUGUAUGUCAGCAACUUUUCCUGGCCGGUUAAAAUACAGAUUGCAUUUUCACAACACAAUACAAUCAUGGACCUUGUGCAGUUUUUUGUCACCUUCUUCAGUUGUUUUCUAUCCUUACUGCUCGUGGCUGCUGUGGUCUGGAAGAUCAAACAGACUUGCUGGGCUUCCCGCCGGAGAGAGCAACUGCUUCGAGAACGCCAGCAGAUGGCCAGCCGGCCCUUCGCUUCUGUUGACGUGGCGCUGGAGGUGGGAGCCAAGCAGACGGACCUUCUUCGAGGGCCACUAGAGGGCGCACCCAAGCCAAUCGCCAUGGAACCCUGUGCUGGGAACAGAGCUGCUGUCCUGACUGUGUUUCUCCGCCUCCCUAGAGGAUCGUCAGGCGCCCCGCCCCCGGGGCAGUCAGGCCUCGCUAUCGCCAGUGCCCUGGUAGACAUUUCGCAGCAGAAGCCUUCUGAUAGCAAGGACAAGCCUUCCGGCGUGCGCAACCGGAAGCACCUGUCCACACGUCAAGGAACUUGUGUCUGAGGAUGGAAACUGCGUCUGUGCUGUGUGCUGGUUUACUUCACCAUGGCUUCCGUUAAAGCUGUUCUGUGGCCUUGGGUCUUACAGAGGACAAUGUCCUAGGAGCCAGGGCCAGGUACAGUCUCCUCUAAGCGGGCAAUGUCCCAAGUGGCCAGAGAUUGCCAGUGAGUUUUUCCUAAGUAACAGUAUUGAGGACCACACAUGUGACGUCAGUUUCUAUGGCUCUUAGGCUGAGAGCUAGCAUAACUUACUAUGGAAAAAGAUGUAUAUUGUUUCUUAAUGCAGAUGGAAAUAUGUAAUUCAUAUAAAUCAACUGUUUAUAUCCCAAGACUUUAAAGAAAGACAUUUUAUAGUGCUUGAAGGAUGAGAAGUGUACAGUUUUUGCCUCAUUAGCAAACUUAGGUCAUUUGCAUAUGAGUUGGAAAUGAACAAGCCAUGGCAGCUGUAAUUGCUGUUUUAGCUCAUCAUAAAUAUGAAAUCAAGGGGUUUACUUGGUAGGCUGUGGAUCAUGUGUUUAAAUUCCACACAUGGCCACACGAAGUCCAGAGUCAGUUUGAGAAUGUAACUGUGCAACUAAUGGGAAGCCAGGGCAGAGGGUCCACUGGAUGUGUGCACUUGUCGGGACAGGAGGUGUGUCAGAACUCUGAGCAUGGUGGCCGAGCAUGCCCAAGAGGAGGCUGCCUGCCAAGCAGGGUCCCCUCUUCCACGAAGAGCCUCCAGCUUGACAAGCAGAAGAGACCCACUGCCACUCGAUAGCAGUGCCUCUGGUCCGUACGCUGAUGCCUUGGUUGCCUGGGAACUAGCAAGCCAGGCCAGUGUUUCUCUGGGUCUUCACAGAACGUGCCAUUUUCUUCCAGCUUUCUUCUGUUUGCCAGUUACCUUUUACAGGUGUAACAAAUGUGUUUUAAAGGUAACACUUCCCCAUGCCCUGUGCCCUGCUGCCUACCAACCUCUUCCUGUAGAAUGCAGGCAAGGGCAGGAGCUGUGCCCAGCAGCAGCAACAAGGCCCCUCCUUCAACAUCGUCACUUGGUGCUGUGAGAAGUUGACAGACUGCAAACAUGCUCACUGCUGGCCACAUUCAAAACAUCCCUCUGGACACAGGCCCCGAGUAACAGCAGAAGGAAGAACGUGACGGCCCACACGUGGAACCGCUGGUCAUUGUGUCCUGUUAUCGACAGCAGCUCACUGAAGCUCGGUCUGGAGUGGCCCAGGUUGACAUCAGGUGAUGACAGGAAACAGAAGAGCAAUGCAGAAGGUUCCCAAAGCAGCAGCACAUCUGUAGUUCUGUCUGACAUGAAAGCCACGUCUAACCAAUGUUGCGUACUGCAUGCACACUUUCAUGCUCUCUGGGGUUCCAGAAGGUAAUGACACUCUGCAGUUAGGCCUGGCUACUUGCACGCCAUGGUUGUACAGUAGCGGGGUGUGACCCUAUUGCAAUAUCGGAUGCUUAUCUCAAAUUCCAUGUAUGCAUAGCUUAAUUUGAUGAGGGAUGAGUGCAGUGCGCAACAGAAAUGACCACAGAAUAUGUAGCUGCAUCUUAUAAAACAUAGUUAGGUCGCAUCGAACCAUGACUCUUAUUUUGAUAACUAGCCUUUUGAAUAUAGUGCAUAUCCAUAGGUUGGCAUGAUAAUUCUCUAUUUUCCAUGCACUCAAAAUCAGAUGAAUUUGUAGAAUAGUCUUAGUAAUUUUCUCUACCGCCUGUGGGGUUUCGGUGGGAGGGGUUGGUUGCUGCCACUUCCCAGGACAUUUGCUCUCAGAAACCCAGUUGAGCAGGAUUUGUAAACGUCUCCUAAAAACAAUCAAGUAAUUUGAGCAACAUCUUUUGGACAUUUCACAUGUUUAGUUUCCCACAAAAUAAUAGCUUGGCAAAACGGGUCACUGUAAAGAAAGAGUUAUCUGAAGAUAAAGCAGUUGCUCAGUUGUGCAAUCCCCAACAGUUGUCAGUGGAGAAGGUCGUACAAGGAGGGUGCCCAGACCUGUCUGAGUCAGUGCAGUCUCAGGGCACCAUCCGUGUGCAGGGGCCAUCCAGUCUACCGCGAAUCCCACUGGGUUCUCCAAACUUGAAAUUUUGAAUUUUAGAGAAUUAUGGAAUUACACAACAUCACACUUGACCAUUAACUCUGUGGCCAGUUAUGCAAUGUAUUCUCAGCGUAUACAGCUUUUCACUGGAAAUAAAAUUCUUCACCCCCAGGUGAAGUGAACCAAAAGGACCUCGCUCUCUGUGUCUGCUCCUCCCACUGCACAUUCUAAAGGCCUUAAAUUUGGAUGUUUCACUUUUACGCAGAUUCUUUUGGGGAAGGUAGGAGUUUGAAGGAGUGACUGUGUGGAAAACCUUUUUUAUGGAAUUCUGAACAUUUCAGCUUCCAAUGACGCGGGAAGGGGCCCUCAGCACGUAAGCUCUCACUCUGCCAAGUGUGAGCAUGUUCACUGGAGUGGAGGUUUAAGACCAACUGGGGAGCAUUACUUGGUCAACUAGAAAAGUCCCUUGAAAACACCACGACGUGCUGUGCUGCUCUGGUCUUCUGACCCUCCAUCCGCCAGGCAGCCUGUUUCUCCACGUGCGGGCCUGCUCCCUCAUUCGCACCAAUGUUCGAGGGACAAAUGAAUAGCAUAAUGUUCGGGAGGAUGCUGGCUUUCUGAAAUACAGUGGCCCUUAAGAGUGAAGGCUGGCUGGAAGGGCAUCAAUAAAAACAUAAGCUCUGCUGAAAACAAUUUGUUUUCGACCUGAAAUGAAUUAGCUCGAGACGCAAAUAGAUAACGGCAAACAGGAUACAUGCCUGUCAAGUUCAGACAGUCAGAACUCCAUGUUCAACUGAAGCUCGCUGGCUGCAGGACAACAGGAACCUCCCAGCAUGCAUUUGCAGAUGGCAUAUCUGGAAGAGGACCUCUGACACUCGUGUCCACUGCUUGCUGACUCCUCAGGUGACAGCUCCAGUUCCACUCUCAUGCACAUGAGAAAGGGCUCUCGCCAUGAGCUUGUCAGUGAGGAGGCUGUGGGAGUCCGUGGGGAUGCGCGGUGGUCUCUGCUUUGUGGUUUUAUACGAUGAGACAGGGCUGUGCUCUCCUGACUUUCUUUCGAGCAGUGUACAGAGCAUGGUUCCGUGGCAGCACCGGUGGUCCUUGGCUGAAGGUCUGCUGCUGAAUCACUGUGGCUUUGUACAUUCGUGAACUGAGGAUUAUUUUAUCCUGAAGAAUACCUAAAGGUUCAUAUUACAUCUUCAUCAGAACUACUUGGAACAACAACAAAUCCAAAUUUUCUAGUGUCCUGAAAUCUCACAGUCGUGAUUAUAGCCCCAGCAGUGUUCACAGAGUUCAUGGUAUCAUUUUCUUUUGGUACAAAUUAUUCUUGACGGAGUCUUGGAAAUCAUUUUGAUAUAGGUGCAAAGAGGCCAUUUGAAAAGAUUGCAGCAAUGUCAAGUUUAUCAUCAUGAUGGAGAAUAGUGAUUAAUAAUGCCUGAAAAGUUUGAAAUCUGUAGUCUAUAGGUAUAAAGUUUAAUUCAACUGGUAAAACACACUCCCUCUUCUGCUGAAAUUAAAUGAGAAUCUUCAUGUUGGGCCUUAACCACAUUAGGAUAGACUCAGAAUGUCAGCCUUACGUGGGAGUUCGUCCUUCUCACACCCUCCUCACCACCACUGUGUAGUCUCUUCCCGGGGACGAGAGCAGAGCGGGCUUCCUCUGGAGCCUGCAGUGCCGGCUAACUCUCCACACUGGCACCACAUUUUAACAAGGCGCUGCCCGGGAUGCUCCUCAGGGUGCUCCGGCCUCUGUGGGGGGUCUGCCUCCACCUCACGGCGCCGCUGUGAGGACUGUGUGUGUGAGACACGGAAUGACUUGGGUGCCCUGUCACAAUUUGCUCACAAUGCUCGCACUCAGGGAACUCAGGCAGGAGAAUCAUCACAAGGUCUAAGCCAGCCUGGACUACAUUGUGAGUUCCUGGCCAACCCUGGCUACUUAGGGAGGCCCUGUCUCAAAAUACAUAAACAAGUAGAUAGAUAGAGAGACAGAUAGAACUUAAAAAAAAAGCAUGCCGAAUG